rnacentral:tRNA from 1 species
CUCGACGUAGCCAAGUUGGCCGAAGGCACCUGGUUGCAACCCAGGCGGCGAAAGCCCGCAUCCGUUCGAAUCGGAUCGUCGAGU